rnacentral:rRNA from 1 species
UACGUAGGGCGCAAGCGUUAUCCGGAAUUAUUGGGCGUAAAGGGCGCGUAGGCGGCUUGGCAAGUGGAUGGUGAAAUCCCUCGGCUUAACCGAGGAACUGCCGUCCAAACUGCUUUGCUUGAGGCCGGGAGAGGCGAGUGGAAUUCCCAGUGUAGCGGUGAAAUGCGUAGAUAUUGGGAGGAACACCAGUGGCGAAGGCGGCUCGCUGGACCGGUUCUGACGCUGAUGCGCGAAAGCGUGGGGAGCAAACGGG